rnacentral:rRNA from 1 species
AUUGAACGCUGGCGGCAGGCCUAACACAUGCAAGUCGGACGGUAGCACAGAGAGCUUGCUCUUGGGUGACGAGUGGCGGACGGGUGAGUAAUGUCUGGGGAUCUGCCCGAUAGAGGGGGAUAACCACUGGAAACGGUGGCUAAUACCGCAUAAAGUCGCAAGACCAAAGAGGGGGACCUUCGGGCCUCUCACUAUCGGAUGAACCCAGAUGGGAUUAGCUAGUAGGCGGGGUAAUGGCCCACCUAGGCGACGAUCCCUCGCUGGUCUGCGAGGAUGACCAGCCAGACUGGAACUGAGACACGGUCCAGACUCCUACGGGAGGCAGCAGUGUGGAAUAUUGCACAAUGGGCGCAAGCCUGAUGCAGCCAUGCCGCGUGUAUGAAGAAGGCCUUCGGGUUGUAAAGUACUUUCAGCGGGGAGGAAGGCGGUGCGGUUAAUAACCGUACCGAUUGACGUUACCCGCAGAAGAAGCACCGGCUAACUCCGUGCCAGCAGCCGCAGUAA